UACGAAGGGGGCUAGCGUUGUUCGGAAUUAUUGGGCGUAAAGCGUAUGCAGGCGGAUCGUUAAGUCGGGGGUGAAAUCCCGAGGCUCAACCUCGGAACUGCCUUCGAUACUGGCGAUCUUCGAGUCCGGGAGAGGUGAGUGGAACUCCGAGUGUAGAGGUGAAAUUCGUAGAUAUUCGGAAGAACACCAGUGGCGAAGGCGGCUCACUGGCCCGGUACUGACGCUGAGAUACGAAAGCGUGGGGAGCGAACAGG
rnacentral:rRNA from 1 species